UACGGAGGAUCCGAGCGUUAUCCGGAUUUAUUGGGUUUAAAGGGUGCGCAGGCUGGAGAUUAAGUCGGCGGUGAAAUUUUGCAGCUCAACUGUAAAAGUGCCUUCGAAACUGGUUUCCUUGAGUGUAGAUGAAGUAGGCGGAAUUUGUGGUGUAGCGGUGAAAUGCUUAGAUAUCACGAGGAACUCCGAUUGCGCAGGCAGCUUACUAAACUACUACUGACGCUCAGGCACGAAGGCGUGGGGAUCAAACAGGAUUAGAUACCCUGGUA
rnacentral:rRNA from 1 species